UUGUCCAUGGAACUUUUGUCCCCUGCAGAACUGGUGCAUCAAGCGGAGAUCCCAGUCCAUCUACCUGCAGGUGCUGACAGACAAGCACGCCCCGGAGCACUACAGGGUCCUGGGCAGUGUCUCACAGUUUGAGGAGUUUGGACGGGUCUUCCACUGCCCCAAGAACUCACCCAUGAACCCAGUGCACAAGUGCUCGGUGUGGUGAGGCUGAUCCCCAUUCAGCAGGCUGGGACCCACCUUCCCCUCCCCUGCCCAAGAGACACAUUGUGCCCACUACCCAAAUCCCAUCUCCCUUCUGAUUCUCCAGGUAAAGGGGGCACCCUCGGGUGUCACAGGGGUCAUCCCAAAGGCAGGCAGCUGCCAUAGGGCUGUAGGCAGCAGAGACACUUGAGCUGGGCAGCUUCCUCCUGCCCAUGCCCCUCCCAUCCACUGCCCUGUGCAGUGAGGGAUCCUCAUUUCCCAUGGAGGAACAAGGGCACACAGGCACACCUGUACCCCCUUUUGUGUCCACCCAGCCCAAACCCUUCACCCAGCCCUACCACAUCCAUCCUAGCAUCAGUCAAGGCAGGUGGAGGACUUCACAGUCUCCAAGGGGCUGCCCCAUGCCAUAAGCCUCCCCUGCACGGUGCCCUCCCCAUGCCAGCCCCUGUCCAUGCACCAGCCCUGCCUGGGGGGGCACAGCGGCGCAGCCAGGCCGGGCGAUGCUGGCCUGCCUGGGAGCGCAGGCACACGGACACUGCUGUAUUUUCCGCUGCUGCUCCUGGUCAAUAAAGCGCUGGAUAUGCUGGGUGGCUGCCAGGGGCCAUGGCCAGGGGAUGGGAGCAGUGGCAGCACCCCCAGCCCUGCCCACAUGGCACAGGCACCCCCACUCCAUGAACACGCCUGUCCCA